rnacentral:sRNA from 1 species
AUUGAGUUAGGGAUUGUAGUGAUAUCCUUUUGCUGUUUAUUCUAGUAUAAAUUAUAAAGUAGAACAGGCAAAAGAUAAAACGGAAAGCGCGCCUACGC